rnacentral:pre_miRNA from 1 species
AAUAUACUCCCUCCGUCCCAAAAUAAGUGUCUCAACUUUGUACAAAGUUGUACUAAGCUCAAGACACUUAUUUUGGGACGGAGGGAGUAGUUG